rnacentral:rRNA from 1 species
AGCGAACGCUGGCGGCAGGCUUAACACAUGCAAGUCGAGCGGGCACUUUCGGGUGUCAGCGGCGGACGGGUGAGUAACGCGUGGGAACGUGCCCUCUGGUUCGGAAUAACUCAGGGAAACUUGAGCUAAUACCGGAUACGCCCUUUUGGGGAAAGGCUUGCUGCCGGAGGAUCGGCCCGCGUCUGAUUAGCUAGUUGGUGAGGUAACGGCUCACCAAGGCGACGAUCAGUAGCUGGUCUGAGAGGAUGAUCAGCCACACUGGGACUGAGACACGGCCCAGACUCCUACGGGAGGGAGCAGUGGAGAAUAUUGGACAAUGGGCGCAAGCCUGAUCCAGCCAUGCCGCGUGAGUGAUGAAGGCCUUAGGGUUGUAAAGCUCUUUUAUCCGGGACGAUAAUGACGGUACCGGAGGAAUAAGCCCCGGCUAACUUCGUG